CAGCAUUGGGGUUGAGUGGGAAUGGGAUAACUUAAUUCUGACAGAUACUUGGCAUACCACAUGAACAGGUGACUGUGACGUGCUAAAAAAGCACCUUGAAUGGACUUUAAGGCUAUAAAAAAUGCUAUAAACACACUCAAGCACACCCAUUUACCACUUGAUAUACACAUACCUACAUUACUCAGUUUCAGGGCUAGCGUGAAUGAGGUUUCCAAGAGCUUUAAGACUCCAUUAAGUAGAAACCACUGUGUUAUUAUUUGACUCUGGGUUCAAGGCUUGGCCAGAGUAAUAAGCAUGACUCCAUGAGGGUUGCUCGCUGCUGGGCCGCAGCAGAAAGCGUAUAGCUGAGGUUUCCCACGGAACGACGCAGACAUUAGUCAUCAGUCCAAUCUGCCUCUGAUGGCUGAUGAAUUGGCAGGCCUCAGUGGAGAUGGCAGGCAGGCGACCACAGUACAGCAAUUAUCAAUCACACACGCUGUCGGACCGCGCUCAUAUUUCAUGCCAACCAUUGUCAAAGUGGAUGGAUGUCGAGCAGGUGGAUUGAUAUGCGGCGAUGACCAGCAUUUAUUGUCUUAUUCAUCUUCAGAAGUUAAUCUCUGAGGCUGCCAUCUUUGCAUUUAAAGCACCCUCUUCUUUUUUUCUCCCAAAUGUCGUUUUGAACACUGACAGCGAUCCGUUAAGCAUGACAGCAUCAGUUAUAUUGACCACAUCUCACCGAACAAUUUAUCAGUCAGCUAGCCCCACAUUUAAAACUCUCCCAAAGGCACUCUAUCUGACUCCAGAGAGAUGCUCUGUGUCACUUGUCUUCUGCACCAACAGUUAAGUCUGACAGUCUGAAGAUAACUGUAUUAUAGAGCCAUGCGAGCAGUAAGACGGGAUAAUACUUUGGGGGAAAUUGCUACCCUCAGAUAGCGUAAUUUGAGCCUCAUUUCAAUUAUCCAAGUCACAUUUGGGUGUGUAUGAGAAGUUAAUGGUGCCUGUGAAUCUAUUUGUUCAUUUAACAUACAUAAUGGAGCUGGAGUGAGCAAUCAGAGGCGGCAUGGCAAACAGCUCAAAGUAUAACUGACAUCAAACAAGAGCGACAGAAAGAAAGAGAGAGAGGGAGAGAGAGAGAGAGGGUGGGGGGGCUUUAAUUACAUUUGAUAGAAAGAGAGAGGGCGCAGACGGGAGCAUUUGAAUGAUAUUAUGAAGCUAUAAAUGCUUUUGACAACAUGUUUCAGAGUCUUUAUUGCUACAUAAGAGACACCAGCUUUCAAAGCCUCUUCCACAUAAACCGCAGAGUAAGGACUUCUCCUCCCCGCCUUGACACGACAUUGAAUGGACUAAAUAAAGUCAGAGCAAGCAACCUGGUUAUUGCAGGAGAGCACCAGAAAUCUUAAGUGAUAGAUGUGGGCUUCAGGAAAGGUGUCAGAGGCGCUCAUAAAAAAGUAAUGGGAUGGCUGUGAACUGGGAAUAACUGACAAAUAGUCCUUAUCAUUUGUCUGCUAUUUUCUCCUUGUUACACAGGCUUGGGAAUAAAAAAGGAAGGUGAUACAAAAACCUGUACGCAGGCGGAAGAAGAAUAUACACACUUUGAGAUUUAGAGGAGGGAGAUACACCUCAGGCAGGUUGUAAAUUAAGCUGAAAGAGUGGCUACAGAAUUACUCACUUGUGCAGUUUUAAGCAGAGUAAUCAGCUUUAUUUUCAUUUGACUUCAGACUUCAAACAGAAGCACCUUUGGGUGAGCAAUUGGGCCUCGUUAAGAUUUUAUCACAUUAUACAUUAUUAUGGGUUUUAUUUGUUAAGAGAGCAUUGUAGAUGCAGGCAGAUAAAGCUAUAAAUAACACAGAGUUAUGACUGAUAUUGAAGUGAUUUAAGUCCACUGCUAUGCGAGGUCAGGGCCUGCAGAGUUGGCUGGUUUCAAGUAUUGCACAAAAGCAGCAGAGAUUUCAUAGAUUCUGGGUAUGCACCAUUUGUCAUUCAGCCAGAGGAAAUCUCAGACAUUUUGUCUCCACUUUAAUAUUUCAAUUUCUAAUUUGAGCCGCAGCCUGAGCUGGAUCAUUUCUUACACUCCUGUUGAACUUUCAGAUCUGCUCCAUGCCAAAUCUAAUAAAGAAUAAGGGCUAAACCACCAAAGAAGACUGAAAACAUAUUAAUGACGAAGGUUGAGUACUUAAUUCAUGAUACCUGAAAUAAGAUGUGAUAUUUAUGUUAAAGACCCAUUCUGAAUCCGAUGAAAAUCAUGUUUUUCUUGUUGUCUACAUGUUCAUAUGGCAUUUUACAGGACAUAUCAUGAGAAAAAUAAGUGCAAAAUUAUAUUUCUGAGUCCAAUCUCCAAUCUCCUCCCCCAGAGCCCCGCUAUGCAGGCUACACUUGGAGAUAUGGAGAGGACGAUCGAGGAACAAGUGUGUGCGGUAGCGGAUUGCAAUGCUUGUAAGAAAGCUAACUAUGAAAUUAGCUUUUAGUAUGUCCCUAAAGAUAUUAGUGUCUGAGAGCUGAAUGUCACAAUUUAAAGACCACUAAUAACUCUUUAAGAAGAAUUUAAAAAAACGAUCGGAACAGGAAAGCAUGUCAGUUUUGGCAGAGUGGCAUGGGCACCCCUUGGAUGAGCCGCUGACCAUAUAAGACAUGGUCAAUUCAUGCUCAUAUUCAUCUCAACAGAUUUCCCUCUUGUGUGAUGUUGCUCACUUUUAUGCAAUAUCCUUCUCAACGUCACUCUCUUCAAGCAGCCGCUUGUUUAUGAGGAAGCCCUGACGAGUCGAUCACCGAGUGCAGUGGAGUUUCACAGCUCAAGGGAGAACAUUUAUGAUGAUUACUUCAUGGAAGUGCAAUCAGACCGAGAUGUUUAGGAAGAAGUUCUCACGUGCCUGCAGUGCAAAAUGAUUAUUAUGAUGAUUAAAACUUCAAAAUGAUCCGCUGCACUCGGUAAUCAACUCGUCAGGGCUCCCCCACAUACAAACGGCUGCUGGAAGAGAGUGAGUGAGUUGUGUUGCUAAAGAAAUUAGGCAAAGCUAAAAAAAUGUUUGGUGGCUAGUACUAUGGCUAGGACCCUAUAUGUACUGUUGAUGAAGUUAGAUGCUGUUCUGGGCAUUAUUUGUGGCUAUAGAGUGGCUUUUUAUUUAAGGCUUUGUGCAUGGAGACGUAGACCGCUGUGUAUUGCUAUCUCGUGGUUGUUGCUGAAGUUGGUAUAACUAAGGAAGCAAGCAGCAACAUUCAUCUCUCAAGGCGGUGUCUAACUUGGUGUUAGGGUGUAAUUGACCAUAACUUAAAUUUACGCCGGAAUAUCCCUUUAAUUUCCUCUGACUGCAUCAGAAUGGUGUCAAAAACUGCAGCUAAAAAAACUUUAACUCUCCACCUCUAUUGCUUCCAUGAACUGGUGACUCUAAAUAAAAAAACUUCCAAAAGUGUUGGCUCCACAAUCCUUCUUUUUGCAAAUGCCUGUAUUAUUUGUGGCAAGGAAACACUCCACACUAAGAUUAACCUCUGAGUGUGUGUGUGUGUGUGUGUGUGUGUGUGUGUGUGUGUGUGUGUGUGUGUGUGUGUGUGUGUGUGUGUGCGGGCGUGUGUGUGAAUACCAUAUAGAAGAAUAGAGCUCCUCACUCAAGUGACUGUAAGCAAAGUUUGACCUGAGGCUGAACCAAAAAUUUGCAUAUAUCUGUUGUCAGACAGUGCUGGAAGCUAGCUUGCCAACAAAAGAUUAUCACUAUUAUAUUUUGGAAACAUUGUUGUACGGGCUAUCCCUAUCUCAUAGCUAAAACACUGCAUCACACACUGUGUUUGUGCUUACCAGACGCUAUCCACAAAUAAAUACACUGCAUAAAUUUCAUUUUCUACUGUAAACACGUCUUUUUCCAGUUAUAUUUUGUCUAACCAAGACAAGAACUCUAACCGGAGAUGGCCUGUAAACUCAAACUAACAUAAUGUAAAGGAUUAAUCUCCUUUUUCUGUGUAAUGUUCAGAUUACUUUGGCUUUAUUUGUUCUUUUAGUGCCGAUAAGGAUGUUCUUGUUCCCCUUCCUUUUCUGCUGCUCUGCUUUAUGCAAUGGCACUGAACCAUCUUUCACAUUACGGUUAAAUCAUCCAUUUGAUUGUAACUGACAUAAUUGGAAAGGGUUGUGAUGAUGCCUUUCUAAAAUAGCAAUUAAGAGCAGCAGAGUCACUGGGAAGCUGAAGAAAAACAAACUGAGAAGUAAGGCUGAGAAAAAGUGAUGAGAAGUGAGAGAAAAAAAGGAAAGAGGAGUUUUUUUGUUUUUUUUUCCUUUAGCAGGCCAGCCAAGCAGCAAUUGCUCUGCACAGUUGAGCAGUGGAGAUAAGCCACAAAGCAGAUGCCUGCAUAUCAAGUGCUUGCCUUAGUUGCCACAUUUCCAAUAGCUGACUCACAGUUCAGAUUCGAAGGAGGACUGGGGUGUGUGUUUGUGAAUGUGCUGAAUGUUUCCCCCCUUUACUGUGUGAUCGCGUGUGUUGCGGUUUGGAUGUUUGUGGGAUUAGGAGGCGUUCAAGACAAAGGGAAAAACAUCUUUGAGAGGGUCAUGGUCUGGUUAUUACCUUUGCUCAGCCUCUGAGACAGGAACAGAGUAGAAGGCAUCGAUCAUGUGUAGCUCCGUGACCGCAGUGUUCGUUUUGAGAUGCUGUGAGAGACAGAUCAGCGGCUCCCUGCUAACUUUAAAGAUUAAGAGCUGAUUGAAAACUGAAAUAUUGUAGCACCAUGUGCUGGAAUCGAUGCAGUAAAUCUUUGCAUACAUCAGCAGGCAGAAAUAUGAAUUAUAUUUCUUUAAAUGGCGCGCAGAUUUGUCAUUGCCAGUGCAACUCUGCCAAAUCCAAUCAUUUUUCCUGUGUUUUUCCAUCAGCGGGUGAACAGAUAGUUCUGCGGCAUCACUCUCAAUAAUGGUUUUUGUUUUUCAGUCUGCGGCAUUGAUUCGGCCAAUCAUGUUUUCUUCCUUGUUCAAUCUCCACUGUUGUCAACACGCCCAAGAAAGGCUGCCUUCUCUGACACUCCCUAUAAGGAGACACGGACAGUGGAAAUUAAAACAUGAGCAUUUUUACUACGUCUCAUGUCUCUAUGUUUUUUGUAAUUAAAAUUUGUGUUAAAAAAAGUACAUAAAAUAAUACCAAUACACAAAAUUCAAAAAACAGCAUAGGUGUGACAGUUCAACAUGGUAAAGGUUUGAAAUAUGGAUGUCAUUGACAGCUCCCUAAAAGUAAAAGCCAAGACAUACAAAACACUACAGUAAAUACCAGAAAUACUGGUCUGUUAAAUAAAUGGAGAUUCAAAUUCACAAUUAUUAUCCUAACCAUUGUUGGCCAAAAACACAGAUCAUACUUGAGGCUGAACUGUAGCUUAGCAUAAAAUGGAUAUAGGCUGUGUCUGCUUAAAACUUGCAUAUAAAUACCUAGCAGGAGCAAGCAGGCACUCGCACCGGCACGUUUAAGUAGAACCGAAGGCUAGUUGUGCUAAUGUUAGCCACAAUUAAAAAAACCAUUGAAGCUAGACAGCAUAUGAAGAAUAUGUUUUCACGGGAUACAGGGAUGUACAAUCAUAGUAACUGUUUUAAUUAUAAUCAUUGUUUUGUUGUUGUUUUGUUAAUUUCACUGGGGUGAUUAUUUUUAUUGCUAUUAUUAUUAUUAUGAUUAAUAUUUUUAUAUGAUAUUAUAAUAUACUGUACAUUGAAACCAUUAGUGUAGGAGAAGGGGUGGGACUAGAUAAGUCUCGACUUCUUCCAACUCCUUUCUAAACAUGAAUUACUUUUUAGGGCCCGAGCGUAGCUGCUAAGCAGCUGCGAGAGCCCUCUUGUUCCUGAUGGAUUCUUCUUUUUAGGGCCCGAGCGUAGCUGCUAAGCAGCUGCGAGAGCCCUAUUAUUCCUGAUGGAUUCUUCUUUCUUCUUUAGGGCCCGAGCCAGCUGCAGAGCAGCCGGGCGUAGGCCCUAUUAUUCCCCAAGUGGUUUUUCUUUGUUUCUUUCUUUCUUUCUUUCUUUCUUCUUUUUCCUCCCCUUUGAACUGGAAAAUGGCCCACUUCCCACUGGCGAAAACUCAUGAAAUUUGGCAGGACGACCGGGCCUGGUGAAAAAUUCGAUAUUCUGAAGUCGCCCAAACAAUAAAAUGCAAAAUGGCUCCAUAGCGCCCCCUAAGGUGGAAAUUCACACUAUUGACUGUCACGCCUGUACGCUUUGUCAUAUUGACACAAAAAUUGACACACAUAUGUAUCUCAAUAAGAUCUACAAAAAAGUCAUUGCGGCCGUAUCUGUCAAAAUUACGGUUAAAGGGUUAUUUCGCAUUUUUUGCCGAUCCGCACACAUUGGAAUUUCGCUAACUCCUCCGAAGGCUUUCGUUCCACCGGCACCACAUUUGCUCAGGCCAAUCUACACCCCGUGGCCAUUAAAAGUUAUCAAAAUCAUGACGCUGCACCCCAAGGUUUAGGUUCUAGGGGGCGCCAAAGAUAACACUAAAAUCCACAUAUUUAAAAGUCUUAUAACUUUUUAUUUUUGUCCUCACUGGCCUCCAAGUUUUCUAGGAUGAUGCAAUGUCCAGCCAUCAACACAUUUGUGAAGGAAUUUUUACUCCCCAAAAGAGCGCCCCCCCAUGGUAGGAGAAAAAAGUCAAUUUUUUCUUGUCCCCUUACAUAAAAAUACACAUUGUUGAGUGUCACGCCUGAACGCUUUGUCAUAUUGACACAAAAAUUGACAAUCAUGUGUAUCUCAAUUAGAUCUACGAAAAAGUCGAAGAGCGCGUAUCUGUAUAAUGUACGGUUAAAGGGCUAUUUUGCAUUUUUUGCCGAUUCGCACACAUUGGAAUGUGGCUAUCUCCUCCUAAGGCUUUCGUCCCACCGAUACCAAAUUUGCUCAGGGCAAUCUACACCCCAUGCCCAUUCAAAGUUGUAAAAAUCAUGAUGCUGCACCCCACGGUUUACGUUCUAGGGGGCGCCAAAGAUGACCCAAAAAUCCACAUUCUUAAAAGUCAUUUUGGCCACUGCAGGAGUACAGAGUACUGCAGUUCUAGGGGGCGCCAAAGAUGAACCAAAAAUCCACAUUCUUAAAAGUCUUUUUGGCCACUGCAGGAGUACAGAGUACUGCAGGAUACACACACAUAUACACACACGCCAACAUACACACACACACACACACACACACACACACACACACACACAGACACACACACACACUCAGAGUCUGUUUUUUAGCACCUGCAAAAACAUGCUGUUUACAUAUUUGACAAGAAUGCAGAGGCUUCCUUUUGCCCCUGAAAAAAAUCAAAUUUCAAACACAACUUGACUGUUCAUUUCUCCAAAAGACAACCAUGAAGCUCCAUUUCAAACCUGAAGCAGAUAGUUGGUGCAUGUGUACAGUAACCUGAGGGGAGUGAGGUGACUAUUUCUGAGGAGAACAUGAGCAGUGAAGAUUCACCUUGGAGCUAGAACAGGGACGUGCACAUGAUUAUACAGGGGCAGGGGCUCAAGUUUUUUCCAGUCAUUUAUACAAUAUGGAAAUUAAUGUGAAAUUAAACCACAAAUAUGUGUGAUGAACUGUUUUUAAAACUUAAACUUCAAAUAAAAAUUGUAAACUUCAAAACAUAUGCAACUUUUUAACAAAGAAUAUAGUAAUUUACCUCUAUUUACAUCAAAAUGCAGGCAAUGGCCCAGGCGUUCUUUGUAAAAUUAUUUACAAAACACUGUAUAGUCUCACAAAUGUCACUUUUUAUUUAUGCCACUACAAAAAAACAUGAUGUAAAUGAUGCAUGAUGUAAAACAUGAUGUAAAAAACUUGUGUAGAUCCUCCUCUAUGUCAGUCCAUGUGUAAUUUUUCCAUAAUUCUUUGUUUUUUGCAGCAUUUUUGUUAGUGUAACUGCAGAUUGUGCUGACAGUGUCUAUGGCACAAAAAAAAAAAAUUAAAAUGCCUCAACAUGAACCCCUGGUGGUCUCUGAGGGUGAAACCUGCUAACUGCUGCAGCUCUGUCAGCUUCAGUCUCCCAUGCAGAGCUCUGAGCGCAUGUGUGGCUCUGCACCCUUAGCAGCGUUGCUAACUCCUCAGUAAGGAAAGCCUGCUUCAUGUCAGAGUCUCUAAACUCCAGAAGAAGUCGAUAAAAGUCCCUUUCU
rnacentral:lncRNA from 1 species